rnacentral:tRNA from 1 species
AGAAACUUAGGUUAAACCAAAACCAAGAGCCUUCAAAGCCCAAAACAAGAGACCCCUCCCUCUUAUUUUUUG